rnacentral:rRNA from 1 species
ANNNNUCCUANNNUUCAANNCGUGAUUUGGGAACCUCGAGUGCCUGUAUAUGNAGGCUGUCCAGGUGUCUAAAACACACCUGAAGAAAGGGCCGGGCAAGACCGGUGCCAGCCGCCGCGGUAAUACCGGCNNCNCGAGUGGUGGCCACUUUUAUUGGGCUUAAAGCGUUCGUAGCUGGGUUGCCAAGUCUCUUGGGAAAUCCGGCGGCUCAACCGUCGGNCGUCUAAGAGAUACUGGCAGUCUUGGAACCGGGAGAGGUGAGGGGUACUUCGGGGGUAGGAGUGUUUUCCUGUCCUCCUCGAGGGACCACCUGUGGCGAAGGCGCCUCACCAGAACGGCUUCGACAGUGAGGGACGNAAGCUGGGGGAGCAAACCGGAUUAGAUAGGGGGGUAGUCCCAGCCGUAAACGAUGUGCGUUAGGUGUAUCGACGACCACGAGUCGUCGAGGUGCCGAAGGGAAACCGUGAAACGUACCGCCUGGGAAGUACGGUCGCAAGGCUGAAACUUAAAGGAAUUGGCG